CAUGCCCCUUAUACGCUGGGCUACACACGUGCUACAAUGGGUAGAACAGAGAGUCGCAAAGCUGUGAAGUGGAGCUAAUCUCAGAAAACUAUUCUUAGUUCGGAUUGUACUCUGCAACUCGAGUACAUGAAGUUGGAAUCGCUAGUAAUCGCGAAUCAGCAAUGUCGCGGUGAAUACGUUCUCGGGUCUUGUACACACCGCCCGUCACACCACGAGAGUUGGUUGCACCUGAAGUAGCAGGCCUAACCGUAAGGAGGGAUGCUCCGAGGGUGUGAUUAGCGAUUGGGGUGAAGUCGUAACAAGGUAUCCGUACGGGAACGUGCGGAUGGAUCACCUCCUUUCUAAGGAGUAUAAGUCUUUCUCUAUUCUAUUGGUAAUGUUCUUACAUUACUUCUGAACAUUGGAAACUAUAUAGUAGAACAAACAAGAAAAAAAUUAACUCUAACAAUUUCUUAGAGUUAGCUGUCAAAAAAUAGGUUAAAAUAAUUAAGGGCACACAAAGGAUGCCUAGGUAGUAAGAGCCGAUGAAGGACGUGGUAAG
rnacentral:sRNA from 1 species